GGCCGGAUAGCUCAGUCGGUAGAGCAUCGGAACGAUAUUUCGAAGCCCCGGGUUCGAGUCCCGGUCAGGCUG
rnacentral:tRNA from 1 species